GCAAGAUAGAAAAUAGGAUUAAAGGAGAAAGAAACUGAUAGAGCAAAACUACAGCAAGUAAAGCAACACAGCAGUAUCCUGCUAUAAGAAGUGAUGCCAGGAUUGAAGACCGAAACACAGAAAGUCCAUACAAAUAGCAAACUCAGUCACUUCUAUGGGAAUACAAGUGUAUUAAUAUGGAAUUAUGGAUAUAUUACCCAUAACGGACAUAUAUUGUUAUUGCAAGUUCAAAUACCCCUGGCCUUUGGGUUCACAUCCUUCUGCUCAGGGAUGGGGGUGUAAAAAGGGGAGAGAAAGGAGCAUGUGCAUAGCUUGAGAACUGUAUAGACACAAUACAUGGGGAAAGGCAGAGAUUGGCUAACUUGGAUGAACUGAUAUCUAGUCAAGGUGCUAAAAUAAAGAGAGAUCAGUGUCAUGCGGUCCUGAGGAGAUGGGAGGGAUGUGUUGAUAUGGUGUGAUGAACAGGAACAGUUAGGGGGGAAAUAUAAGAUAUUGGGAGGGGGAUUACCCCAAUCAUAGACUUGCCUAGGACCUCAAUAAUAUUAAUUUGUACGGAUUGCAUACAUUUCUGACUUUAUUUUACCCAUAAGAAGAAAUUACAUGUAAUUGAUAUGUAGGACAAUAUUCUAAAUGUUCAAUCUGAGAAUAAUUUUAAAGAUGUGAGUUUUGGACAGUAGAUGGUGCAAAUACAAGAGGUCCAAGGAAUCCAAAGGAAGGAAAAUACGAUUACAAUGUACAAGCCACUGUAAAUUGCAUGUUACAACAAAACUGUACUUUGACACUCAAAACUGCAGUUUCCAGUUCUUGAUAGACAAGGUGCAAGUUGCAAUAAAUGAAUAAAUCAUGCACAACAAUCACGCUUCUCCAGCACUAAGGAUGAUGCAGUUUGAGGUUUACAAAAUGGAUUGUGUACCAAAAACUGUAUGUGCAGGAUAUGCAUUUUGAGAGUCAAGAGUUGCUAACUUAUCACUUCUGCCACCGAUCACUGCUUUCUUGUCAUUGCAUAAUGGCAACGUCCCAGAAUGUGUGGGAACACCGGUCACAUUACAAGCCAAUGCCCCAUGAUAUCUUGACUGUGCUGGGCUGCCAGUAAGGGAAACAAAAACGGUCUGCUUAAAUUUUAAAACAAGGGAUAAAAAGAAAAACAAUAUCUACAAUUUUAUUUUAAAGAUGAAAAUGGAAAUGAUCUCUCUACUGGUUUGUUGCAAAUGUGUUCAUUUCUGAAAAAGAG